UGGGGAAUUUUGCACAAUGGGGGAAACCCUGAUGCAGCGACGCCGCGUGAUUUAGAAGGCCUUCGGGUUGUAAAAAUCUUUUCUAUGGGAAGAAAAUGACAGUACCAUAGGAAUAAGGACCGGCUAAUUACGUGCCAGCAGCCGCGGUAAUACGUAAGGUCCGAGCGUUGUCCGGAAUCAUUGGGCGUAAAGGGUACGUAGGCGGGUAAGCAAGUUAGAAGUGAAAUCCUGUAGCUCAACUACAGUAAGCUUUUAAAACUGCUCAUCUUGAGAUAUGGAAGGGAAAGUGGAAUUCCUAGUGUAGCGGUAAAAUGCGCAGAUAUUAGGAGGAAUACCGGUGGCGAAGGCGACUUUCUAGCCAUAAUCUGACGCUGAGGUACGAAAGCGUGGGUAGCAAACAGG
rnacentral:rRNA from 1 species